UUCUGGCUCAGGAUGAACGCUGGCAGCGUGCUUAACACAUGCAAGUCGAACGAAGCAACUAUCUUGCUUGCAAGAGAGUUGACUUAGUGGCGGACGGGUGAGUAACGCGUGGGUAACCUGCCUCAUACAGGGGGAUAACAGUUGGAAACGACUGCUAAGACCGCAUAACCCGCUAGUGUCGCAUGACACGGACGGAAAAUAUUUAUAGGUAUGAGAUGGGCCCGCGUCUGAUUAGCUAGUUGGUAAGGUAACGGCUUACCAAGGCGACGAUCAGUAGCCGACUUGAGAGAGUGAUCGGCCACAUUGGGACUGAGACACGGCCCAAACUCCUACGGGAGGCAGCAGUGGGGAAUAUUGGACAAUGGGGGAAACCCUGAUCCAGCGAACCGCCGCGUGAGUGAAGAAGUAUUUCGGUAUGUAAAGCUCUAUCAGCAGGGAAGAUAAUGACAGUACCUGACUAAGAAGCCCCGGCUAACUACGUGCCAGCAGCGGC
rnacentral:rRNA from 1 species